UUGUACAGACUUAAAACUUGCAAGUGAAAGAUUGUUUACAAACUUCCUGAAUAUUAUCAAUGCAGAACAGCUGUGGAGACACUUUAUCCCGAAGAUCUAUACCAAACGUAGUCUGCUUACCACGUACCACGGUUGCAUCUUGAGCAGUGACCUGCCAAGGGCAAAGGACCCUGCUCCCUGGACUCACAGAUUUUCUAAUGCUUGGGCAGGUGGUUACUGCAUGUUCCACAUCAGUCAAUGCAACUUAGGACAAAACUAACAGGAUACAUAAAACAGAGGUGAGGCUGCCGGGACCAGUGUAUUUCCGUUGCAGCCAGAUGGAUUUUUUUGUUUGUUUUUCAUUUUGUUGAUUCUCAGAAGCAGAAAGCAUCACUUUAAAAGUUUGUUUGUUCAUGCAAACUCUAUUUGCAUUCUUACAUUAGUUAAGCUAAGCAGCAAAAAGAAAAAACACACACACUCACAUUUAGCCCAUGUCAUUUACUUGUCAGUUUCUUUGACAUAAAGCCGCAUCUUCUCCACAUGGGCUUCACGUGGUUUGGAGAUGGGUGGGGGAAAACAAUCAGGUUUCUUCAGGCUGAGGAGGACUUGCUCAGGCCGAUUCCAAACAUUGUGUUCGUUCAAUGCGUAGAAAUGAUUUGCAUGAUGGCAUGCCGUGAUCAGGAGUCAUGCAUGAGAACCAUACACCACAGGACACUACUGAUCCUGUCCCCUGCACUGGGUCAGCCUUUGGACAGGACCCAGCCCUGCACCGUUCACUGUAUUUGGAGAAAAAAUGGUCUUGAGAUGGGCCACAGAGCUAUAAGAUCCCGCUCGUCCUCCAAGUGCUCGUGCUAGUGAUGUCAUUAAGCUACUAGAGCAUAUUAAUGAGAUUUUUUGAGCUCUGAUCUUUUUUCCUCCCCCAGGCCCUGGUCUCCCCACCCAGCAGGCUGUCUCCUCAGUGACACACACAGGCCUUGGUAUCUGACAUCCAUCAGCCAGCUUCACAGGGAAGAAGCCACCUCCACUCUAUUUGAAGUUUCACUUUUUUUUUGUUUGUUUGUUUCUAAAAAACUUUUCCCACCUUCUUUCUCCUCACCUGAUGGCCCUCCACCCACCCACUCGUUCACGCACUCUCGCACUCACCCGCCCUGCUCCACACUUCUUUGGUAGUAAGUGACACCAUCACCAGCAGUUUACACCCGCAGUUAACAGGCAUUGAACUGAAAGAGUCAGUGAAGGCGUUCUCGCAUGUCUUCACCCAGUGGAUAAGUGGCAACGCUUUGCCAAAUAUUAACGAAGCCAAUCAAAAAGCAGCAGCAGCCACAGUAUCACUGCACAUAUAUAUAUAUAGAUAUAUAAAUACGAUAUAAAUAUUUAUUUUUUGUAGCCAGGUCCUUGGUGCAGUAUUUAUACUCCAGAAUCCACCUUUAAAAAAAGGACAAAAAGCAAAAAGACAUGUGUGAUGCUGUUAAUUUAAAACGCAGAGCCAAAGCCACCGAGCAGCAGCUGACAUGGUUGCUGGUUUGUGUGUGAAAAACACUUUCCCCUCUUCUUUUCUUUAACCUCCUUGUUGCUUAGGAUGAGGAGACUCCGUCAUUUAAAGCCGAGGGCGAGAGCAGGAGACACUUCCCAAGUCAGCUGCCUUGCACCCGCCCCUCUGAAUAAGCCACUCUUGGCAUCAGAAGUUGACUGAGGAGAGAUUAACAGAAACUCCCGGUCAAAGCCCCUGGAACAGCAAUGCCCAGAGUUCUCUCAUUUUUUGCUGCAACCAACGUAAGCUUGUAAAAGACCAGUAGUAAAGACUAGUGUAUUAGUGAAUGCAUGGAGGCCAGCACUGCUCUAACCAAGACAUGAUGAAACGUACAUCACUUCUAUAAGCCAAAAGGAAACAAAAUAAAAACGACCCUUUUUACUGUACAAGGGAAGCCUGUCUUGGUGUGCGUUUGUUGCUUGACUCUCCCAAUACUUUUUAUUCCUGGGAAGUGGGACUUUAGCACAUUUGGGGAAAGGAGGGGAACGAAAGGGAGAGAAAUGAGGAUUUCUCGCAAAGUUCUGGCUAAAAAGCCAAGAUUGGAGAGAAAAGCGAAGUCCUGAUCUCCCCAGGUCCCCACUCACCCACCGUGUGUGGCAUUCGUCCCCCUGCUGGGCCACUGCUUCCAGGCCCAUGAUACCUAUUCCUCACCGGUCCCCCGGCAGAGCCCCCAGAGAUGAUGUCAGCCAACCCAGCUGGGCUGGCCUUACUCCUGUCUUUUUCACCAGUAUUUUAAGAAGAAAACCAUUCCAACGCCCCACAGCUCGGGCGAGCACAAUGCCCAACAGCCUCCACUCUGCUAGCUACUGCUGAGCCCUGCCCUCCAUCUCCCCCACCAAACCAGCAGACUCAGCUGGUCUCAUUGGCACCACCCCGCCCCGCUUUGGGGACACCCCUCUCUAGGCCACGUCUCCCAGUCCAGGAACACUCAGGAGGAUUUUGAAGUGCCCACUCUAGUCCGCUCCAGGAGCUCCGCUCUGGAGAGAGAUGGCUGGUAGGUCAGUCCCCAUCCUCCCCUCUCGGCCCCCAGCCUCCAGGCCUACUGUGGAGGUUAGAUGGCCAUGGUUGUGACUUAGUGACUGAGUCCUGGGCAUCUUCUGUAAUGAUGCCUCUUUCUUUUCUCAGAUGUUGCCCAAAGUUUUGCAAAAAGCUUCGUUCAUUUUCAGGUACCCCCACCCCCUAAAGAAUUGGCUGCAGCUAGCCAGCCAGGGGGGACAUCAGGAGAGAAGAGGGAGUCUGGGUGGGGAGGGGCCCAAGUUUUGCCAUCUGGGCUGUGGCUCAGCAUUGUGGUUUCUUGGAUUCCCCUUCCAAGAGCACCAAGAUUUCCUGUCAAAACGCUCCUGAGGCACCCCCUGCCCCUGCCCCCCACUGCUCUUUGCUGUACAUAGAGGCUAAGUGGGGUGGGGUGGGCAGGUGUGCACGUGUGGUGUGUGUGUGUGUGAAGAAUGUAUAUAGGUAAAGGGGAGCGCGGUCCAGUGGUUCCAGAAAAGGGACAGAACUCCUGUGUUCCAUCCCUAAUUCGACCACUGACUCGCUGUGUGGCCUUGGGCAAGUCACUUAACCUCUCUGUGCCUCAGUUUCCCCAUCUGUAAAAUGGGGAUAAUAAUACUGACCUACCUCACAGGGGUGUUGUGAGGCUUUAACUAAAUGUUUUGUAAAGUGUUUUUUGAGAUACAGAGGCAAAGGCACUAGGGAAGGGCAAAGUAUUUAUUUGGACUUCCGGAAGAUGAAAUGGUACCAUAAAUGCUGCUAUUCUGAGAGCCAUUUUAAACUGCACUGCUCCAACCACCCCCGCUUCUCAUCACCAGGACAGCAGGUCGAGAAAAUGUCUUUCCUUUCACUUGCUUCUGGGGUUUGUGAUUGUUCUAGACACAAUUCUUUUACCCUUGCUGUAUCUCCUUCCCUCACCCCCUCGACUUGUUCCCUGUUCCGUUUAUGCGGAAAUGGCAGAAAUGCUUGAGAAAUGAGAAUGUAUAAGUGGAUUGGAAGUUUAUAGUCUGAAAUUUCAAUUUUACUUUGUACUGUACAUCUUUUUACUUUAGAAUUUGCAAUAAAGGGUUACGUCAAUCUUGUUUUCAACUCUCCUCUUGGACUGGCCUGUCAUUCUGUCAUUACUCUCACACCAGAGCCCCUUGGCCCAGGGAUGCCCACCUAGCAGGACCCCAGGGCGUCUGCUGUCCUUCCCCGUGGUGGGGGCACAGUCAGUGAAGUCGGUGUGGGGUCUCACCCAGGCUCAGCUCCCUUAGUGGGGCUGGCAAUGCCCCACUCACUCAGGUGGGUAGGGAGAGUUUGGGACUCCAGAGAGAGCUUUAGGAGGCCUUGCCUGAGUGGAGAGAGCAGCUUGGGGGCAGCAACCCCUGGAAGUGGGCACAGCUCCAGCAGGGCCUCAGAGUAACCUGAAG
rnacentral:lncRNA from 1 species